rnacentral:rRNA from 1 species
CCUACGGGAGGCAGCAGUGAGGAAUAUUGGUCAAUGGGCGAGAGCCUGAACCAGCCAAGUCGCGUGAAGGAUGACGGCCCUACGGGUUGUAACCUCUUUUUGUCAGGGCGAAAUUGGGUCCACGCGUGGGCUUAGCGAGAGUACCUGAAGUAAAAGCAUCGGCUAACUCCGUGCAAGCAGACGCGGUAUUACGGAGGAAGCGAGCGUUAUCCGGAUUUAUUGGGUUUAAAGGGUGCGUAUGCGGAGAAUUAAGUCAGCGGUAAAAACUCGGGGCUCACUCCGGCAGUGCCGUUGAUACUGUUGUUCUUGAGUGGGCGAGAGGUAUGCGGAAUGCUUGGUGUAGCAGUGAAAUGCAUAGAUAUCACGAAGAACUCCGAUUGCGAAGGCAGCAUACCGGCGCGCAACUGACGCUGAAGCACGAAAGCGUGGGUAGCGAACAGGAUUAGAUACCCCAGUAGUC